rnacentral:rRNA from 1 species
CGGUGAAUACGUUCUCGGACCUUGCACACACCGCCCGUCAAGCCAUGGAAGCCGGGUGUACCUAAAGUCGGUAACCGUAAGGAGCCGCCUAGGGUAAAACUGGUGACUGGGGCU